rnacentral:rRNA from 1 species
AUGCGGCAGCGUACACAUGCAGUCGAGCGGCAGCGGGAGGUGCUUGCACCUCGCCGGCGAGCGGCGGACGGGUGAGUAAUGCAUAGGAAUCUGCCCGGUAGUGGGGGAUAACCUGGGGAAACCCAGGCUAAUACCGCAUACGUCCUACGGGAGAAAGCAGGGGAUCUUCGGACCUUGCGCUAUCGGAUGAGCCUAUGCCGGAUUAGCUGGUUGGUAGGGUAAUGGCCUACCAAGGCAACGAUCCGUAGCUGGUCUGAGAGGAUGAUCAGCCACACUGGGACUGAGACACGGCCCAGACUCCUACGGGAGGCAGCAGUGGGGAAUAUUGGACAAUGGGCGAAAGCCUGAUCCAGCCAUGCCGCGUGUGUGAAGAAGGCUUUCGGGUUGUAAAGCACUUUCAGUGGGGAAGAAAGCCUGUCGGUUAAUACCCGACAGGAACGACAUCACCCACAGAAGAAGCACCGGCUAACUCCGUGCCAGCAGCCGCGGUAAUACGGAGGGUGCGAGCGUUAAUCGGAAUUACUGGGCGUAAAGCGCGCGUAGGCGGCGUGAUAAGCCGGUUGUGAAAGCCCCGGGCUCAACCUGGGAACGGCAUCCGGAACUGUCG